UACAGAGGUCCCAAGCGUUGUUCGGAUUCACUGGGCGUAAAGGGUGCGCAGGCGGGCUGGUAAGUUCGAUGUGAAAGCCCCGGGCUUAACCCGGGAAUGGCAUUGGAUACUACUGGUCUGGAGGAUCGGAGGGGGGACUGGAAUUCUUGGUGUAGCAGUGAAAUGCGUAGAUAUCAAGAGGAACACCAGUGGCGAAGGCGAGUCCCUGGACGAUACCUGACACUGAGGCACGAAAGCCAAGGGAGCAAACAGG
rnacentral:rRNA from 1 species